rnacentral:tRNA from 1 species
CUCGAAAUAGCUCAGUUGGAAGAGUGUUAGACUAAGAAUCGAAAGGUUCCUGGUUCGAUCCCGGGAUUCGGCA